GACGCCGCGUGAGGGAUGAAGGCCUUCGGGUUGUAAACCUCUUUCAGCAGGGAAGAAGCGCAAGUGACGGUACCUGCAGAAGAAGCGCCGGCUAACUACGUGCCAGCAGCCGCGGUAAUACGUAGGGCGCAAGCGUUGUCCGGAAUUAUUGGGCGUAAAGAGCUCGUAGGCGGUUUGUCGCGUCUGCUGUGAAAACUCGAGGCUCAACCUCGGGCUUGCAGUGGGUACGGGCAGACUAGAGUGCGGUAGGGGAGACUGGAAUUCCUGGUGUAGCGGUGGAAUGCGCAGAUAUCAGGAGGAACACCGAUGGCGAAGGCAGGUCUCUGGGCCGCAACUGACGCUGAGGAGCGAAAGCAUGGGGAGCGAACAGGAUUAGAUACCCUGGUAGUCCAUGCCGUAAACGUUGGGCACUAGGUGUGGGGCUCAUUCCACGAGUUCCGUGCCGCAGCAAACGCAUUAAGUGCCCCGCCUGGGGAGUACGGCCGCAAGGCUAAAACUCAAAGAAAUUGACGGGGGCCCGCACAAGCGGCGGAGCAUGCGGAUUAAUUCGAUGCAACGCGAAGAACCUUACCAAGGCUUGACAUACACCGGAAACUUCCAGAGAUGGUUGCCCCGCAAGGACGGUGUACAGGUGGUGCAUGGUUGUCGUCAGCUCGUGUCGUGAGAUGUUGGGUUAAGUCCCGCAACGAGCGCAACCCUCGUCCUAUGUUGCCAGCGGGUCAUGCCGGGGACUCAUAGGAGACUGCCGGGGUCAACUCGG
rnacentral:rRNA from 1 species